UAGGAGGUUGGCUUAGAAGCAGCCACCCUUUAAAGAAAGCGUAAUAGCUCACUAGUCGAGUCGGCCUGCGCGGAAGAUGUAAACGGGGCUCAAACCAUACACCGAAGCUACGGGUGCAUCGCAAGAUCGCGGUAGAGGAGCGUUCUGUAAGCCUGUGAAGGUGAGUUGAGAAGCUUGCUGGAGGUAUCAGAAGUGCGAAUGCUGACAU
rnacentral:rRNA from 1 species